AGAUUGAACGCUGGCGGCAUGCCUUACACAUGCAAGUCGAACGGCAGCACGGGAGCAAUCCUGGUGGCGAGUGGCGAACGGGUGAGUAAUAUAUCGGAACGUGCCCAGUCGUGGGGGAUAACGCAGCGAAAGCUGUGCUAAUACCGCAUACGAUCUAUGGAUGAAAGCGGGGGAUCGCAAGACCUCGCGCGAUUGGAGCGGCCGAUAUCAGAUUAGCUAGUUGGUGGGGUAAAAGCCUACCAAGGCGACGAUCUGUAGCUGGUCUGAGAGGACGACCAGCCACACUGGAACUGAGACACGGUCCAGACUCCUACGGGACGCAGCA
rnacentral:rRNA from 1 species